GAUGAACGCUGGCGGCGUGCCUAAUACAUGCAAGUCGAGCGAACAGACGAGGAGCUUGCUCCUCUGACGUUAGCGGCGGACGGGUGAGUAACACGUGGAUAACCUACCUAUAAGACUGGGAUAACUUCGGGAAACCGGAGCUAAUACCGGAUAAUAUAUUGAACCGCAUGGUUCAAUAGUGAAAGACGGUUUUGCUGUCACUUAUAGAUGGAUCCGCGCCGCAUUAGCGAGUUGGUAAGGUAACGGCUUACCAAGGCAACGAUGCGUAGCCGACCUGAGAGGGUGAUCGCCCACACUGGAGCUGAGACACGGCCCAGGCUCCUACGGGCGGCACCAGUAGGGACGCUUCCGCAAUGGGCGAAAGCCUGACGGAGCAACGCCGCGUGAGUGAUGAAGGUCUUCGGAUCGUAAAACGCUGUUAUUAGGGAAGAACAAAUGUGUAAGUAACUAUGCACGUCUUGACGGUACCUAAUCAGAAAGCCCCGGCUAACUACGUG
rnacentral:rRNA from 1 species